UACGAAGGGGGCUAGCGUUGCUCGGAAUUACUGGGCGUAAAGCGCACGUAGGCGGUCUUUUAAGUCGGGGGUGAAAUCCUGGAGCUCAACUCCAGAACUGCCUUCGAUACUGGAAGACUCGAGUCCGGGAGAGGUGAGUGGAGCUGCGAGUGUAGAGGUGAAAUUCGUAGAUAUUCGCAAGAACACCAGUGGCGAAGGCGGCUCACUGGCCCGGUACUGACGCUGAGGUGCGAAAGCGUGGGGAGCAAACAGG
rnacentral:rRNA from 1 species